rnacentral:tRNA from 1 species
UCGCCUAGCCCAGCAGGAAUGGGCGACCUGAAAAAAGGUCUCUGGUUCGAGUCCAGGUAGGCGAGCC